rfam:Picea glauca, whole genome shotgun sequence.
AUGUACAUGCCUACAACGUUAAUGCAUGAAAUCCCAUCAUAAUUUUGCAGUUAAGCACACUUGGGAUAGAGUAGUACUAGGAUCGGUGACCUCCUAUGAAGUCCUAGUGUUUUACAUG